CGAUCUACCCCAAAAAACCAAAAAAAAAUUAACCGAAAAAAUCAAACCGGUAAAAAAAACCGAUUGAACCGAUUAAAAUAUUUAGAAAAAUUUAUGGUUCGGUUCGGUUUCCGGUUUUGGUGUGCCUGAACCGGCCAACCCAAACCAAACCGAACCGGUUCGGUAUCAAAAUGAAAAAAAAAAAUAAACCAAUCGCAGGCUACCUCCUCCCUCCUAUUAGCCAACAACCCUAGCAGACCAUUUAUCAUUUCUUUCCCUUUCACACAGUCAUCCCCUCCCCUCUUAUUAACUAUUUGAUUGCUUUCAUAAUUUGAGGGGUCCCUUACAUUCACAGCUUCCAUGCUCUCUCUGUCUCUCAUCUCUCAAUGUAAAGGAAAAGUAACUGAUUACAGAGGUGAAUUGCUGAUAAUUCUUCCAUUGAUUUACUUGAUUCUCCUUCAUGGGUCACGGCAUAAAAAGAUCCCACCUCGAUUGCCUGAGAGGGAUUAUUUCGGGUCUAGAAGCUGAAGAGUGUCCAGAAAAAUCAAAGCAAUGAUUGCUAAAAACUGAUAUUGUUUUUUUGCAAUUAUUUUUUCCUUUGCAAGAAGUUGUAACAACGAGAACAACGUUAUUGAUUCUUAGAGGAUGGCAUCUUGGCAUUGCAUUUCA